rnacentral:piRNA from 1 species
UUUGAUACAUGGUCAUUUUAU